GUUAAAAAUAAAAGUGACAACCCUAGGCGUCAACGCAGGAGUAGGUAAUUAACUCGCCGAUCGGCCUUAGUUAGCCUACUAUUCUGUUUGUACUGUGUAACAGCUUAAAAUAAG